GAGUUUGAUCGUGGCUCAGAUUGAACGCUGGCGGCAUGCCUUACACAUGCAAGUCGAACGGCAGCAUGAUCUAGCUUGCUAGAUUGAUGGCGAGUGGCGAACGGGUGAGUAAUACAUCGGAACGUGCCCUGUAGUGGGGAGUAACUAGUCGAAGAUUAGCUAAUACCGCAUACGACCUGAGGGUGGAAAGUAGGGGGACCGGCAAGGCCUCAUGCUAUAGGAGCGGCCGAUGUCUGAUUAGCUAGUUGGUGGGGUAAAGGGCCCG
rnacentral:rRNA from 1 species